UACGAGGGGAGCAAGCGUUGUUCGGAUUUACUGGGCGUAAAGGGCGCGUAGGCGGCGUGACAAGUCACUUGUGAAAUCUCCGGGCUUAACUCGGAACGGUCAAGUGAUACUGUCGUGCUAGAGUACAGAAGGGGCAACUGGAAUUCUCGGUGUAGCGGUGAAAUGCGUAGAUAUCGAGAGGAACACCUGCGGCGAAGGCGACUGUCUGGGGUUUUGCUGACGCUGAGGCACGAAGGCCAGGGGAGCGAACGGG
rnacentral:rRNA from 1 species